rnacentral:lncRNA from 1 species
GGGUGCUUCCUGAUUCGUAUUUGAAUGUUAGGGAAAAGGAUUAUGGAGGUAAGUUCUGUUGUUCUGUUGUCUGCCUUUGUAUGGUUGUUGUGACCGCGCCUUUAGUUACAUAAAUGUUUUUGGAUAACAUGAGCAUAGUGUGGCAUGUUAUGAUUGUUACAAUGUUUCAUAGUGGGUUAGGAUGUUACUAUUGAUAGGAUGUUUCAUGGUGGGUUAGGACGUGAAUUCUGCCUUGGAGCAACAAAUGGCAUAACUAUGUGCCCUAAAUCUUUUUCUUUCCCUGAUCAGGUGAGCCCUUUAUUAAUGGGCAAGCAGUUCCUUAUGAUCCCAAAUAUCAUGAAGAGUGGGUUAGAAACAAUGCCAGGGCAAAUGAGAGAAACAGGCGCAAUGAUAGGCCCCGCAAUGCUGAUAGGUCAAGGAACUUUGAGAGGAGGAGGGAGAAUGUUGUGAACAGAGACAUGCAGGGUAGGCCUCCUAUGCCAAAUAGUGGUGCUCCACCAAGCAAUGCAGGUGGAUAUGCACCUCCCGGCAACCAGGGGGGAUAUGCACCUCCCAGCAACCAAGGUGGAUAUGCUCCUCCCAGCAACCAGGGAGGAUAUGCUCCUCCCAGCAACCAAGGUGGAUAUGCUCCUCCCAGCAACCAAGGUGGAUAUGCUCCUCCCAGCAACCAAGGUGGAUAUCCUCCUAACAGUGCCGGUGGAUACGCCCCACCAAAUGCAGGUGGAUAUGCUCCACCCAAUGCUGGAGGUGGUUACCCUCCUCCUCCUCCUCCUAACAUGGGUGGUGGCUAUGGUCCUGGAGGGGUACCCCCCAACCAGAACACAGGAGGUUUUCAACCGAAUGCAGGAUGGUCAAACAAUGCUCCCAGUAGAGACGUGCCAAGCAGAGAUAUGGGAGGAGCACCUGGUGGAAACCCAUACACAGCGUGAGAUCACUGCCGAUUUUUCUAGCCUAUGUAGAUAAUGAAGAAUUGUGCCAAGACAACAUAGAGUUUAUGUCAUAUUUCUCAACGAAUUAAAAUUUAUUUUUCUUAAUUGUUACUCCUAUUUCCUAAUGAACCUGCAUGUUGGGUAUCUGAAGUUCACAAUUUUUGAUGGCUAGAUUCGAUCUAUGGGCUUAUGACUGUCUAACUUAUUGUAUGUUGCUUUACAAACCUAUGUAACGGUUGGCAGUAAUAUAUCUUUAGCGUCUUAGUUUCUUGAGAAGCUUGACUCUUUAGAAGCACUAUUAAGAAUAUUUAAGUUGAGUAAAACUUUAAGAUGAUAUGAUGAUUGGUCUGCAAGGAGGUUAUUCAACAAUACCCAAAUAAGAAGGCUGAGAAUAGGCAUUUCAACGCACUACGGGAGAAGCACUCCCAAGUAUUCGGAGGAAUUGUCUGACUUUAUGUAAAGGAAUAUAUUUUUUUUAUUUUUUGUAAUUGGUUUUAAUAAAUUUUUACUUAGGAACUUUUUUUAAACAAAAGUUAGAUAACCUACAGAAUAAUCUCUAUCAGAAGUAAUUAUAUACUUUAUUUAAAAAUGAUCAUAUAUAUAUAUAUAUGUUAUUUAUUUAUAUGAUUACUUAUUUAUAUUCGAAAUUUGAUGUUUUUCUCAAUUAGAUUUAAACAUCCAGUAGUUACUUAAACUUUUGAUCCUACGGCUUUCGAAACACAAUACAUGCAAAAUAUAAUAAAAAUAAAUACUAAAUUCGUUAUUAAAAAAAAGGUUAAAUAUGUUUUUAAUCCUUAUACUUUGGACCGAUUUUGGUUUUAGUCCAUUUUCAAACUAUGGUACAAUUUAGUUCUUCAACUUUAGAAAACUUUGGUUUUAGUCUUUUUUAUUAAUUUUUUUUAACUUUAUUUGUUGUUUCAAAUACGUUUUUUAGUUAACAUUUGAAGCAAAAAUGUGUUAAACAAAAAAUUAGUAAAAAAGACUAAAACUAGAGUUUUCUAAAGUUGAAGGACUAAAUUGUACCAUAGUUUGAAAAUGGACUAAAACUAAAAUCGCCCCAAAAUAUAGGGACUAAAAACAUAUUUAACCCUUUAAAAAAUAAACGUAUAAGUCAUCGUUCAAAAAAUAAACGUAUAAGUAAGGGAACGGAUGAUCACUAAAUAUAGCCCCAGUAAAUACAUUUGGUAAGCACUCCUUACUUAAUUUAAUAAUUAUAUAUAUAUAUAUAUAUAUAUAUAUAUAUAUAUAUAUAUAUAUAUAUAUAUAUAUAUAUAUAUAUAUUGAAAAGGGACAUAUUUAACAUCACAAUAAAAUCUGGGAUGGACGAAGAAAAAUUGGAGAUGCAAGCAGAAAAGAUCCUUUUCCCUAUUGCUCUUCUUUGAUUGAAAAUUAUGUUUCGAAUCAUAGAAUUCAUAGCACAUUUUUUAUUUUGUAUUCUAAAAUGUAUAAUUUGGAAUACAAAAUUUAAAUUUCAAAUUGUGUAAAAUGUAUUUUUUAUUUUGUAUCAAUAAAAAUUCUAAAUUAGAGGGUGAAAUUAAAAUUUUUGAGUGUUGGAAGUGGAGAAAGAAAUUGUCUCUAAUAACAUGUAUUAACAUGACAAGAAGAAAUAUAGAAAGGAAACUAAAUUUCAGGUGUUAAUUUUAGUUUUGAAAACAUAAUGAAGAUAUGUUGCUACAACUCGUUGUUUAAUUUUAAUAGAAUUUUAUAAAAUUUUAAUAGUUAUUGAAGUUAUGCACUGUGGAGGAUGUUAACUAAUGAUUUUUGAGGAACCAAAAUAAUCUAUGCAAAAUUUAUAUACUUAGUUAGUGUUAUUAAUACAACAAAAAUAAUACUUGGUAUAAUUAUAACGAAAUCAUAUAUAUUUAAAGGAUUGUCUUUCUUUCUUUCAAAUUCUUGAACUAAUCAAUAAUUGAGUUAAAACGAAAAUUUCCAACUUUUUCUUGUUCAAAUGAAAAUAACUAUAUUGUUAACAUAAAAAUUAUAUUCAAUUUUAUUUUAUAAUCUUUGAUAAUCUUUAUUGUAUAAAAUGAUUUUUUAUUGUAGUUGAAAAAACAUGAAUAGUUAAAAUAAAAUGAAUUAAGUGGUCAAUCAAGUAAAAUUACUUUAACUUUUUCUUUUUUAUCAAAGAUUCUCAUAAUUUAAACAUAAUUGAUAAAUUCUUCAAAUUUUUAUGGUUAGGAAAGGUUAGUAUAAUUACUAAAUCUUAGUAUUUUAGAGUAGUUAUUAAGUCUAAGUUGAGAGUACCUAGUUUUGACUUAAGUGUUACAAAUAUUUGAUCUUUUCUCUUCUCUUGUAGAUGUUUUCUACCAUUAUAAAUAGUAGAUCAUAAGAAGAGUUAUUUAAGUUCUCCAAAAUAUAUUUCCUUUGUUUUAAUCUUAAGUUGGUUAUCAGAGUGGACCAAUUUCACACCUACUCUACUAGUUUCCUCCAACGAUUAUUUUCGGUAUUAUUCGUUGUCUGUUGUCAUCUGUCGCUGUUCAUCGACCAUCACCACAAUUUCCUCUGAUGAGCACCAAAUCUAGACUGCCUUUUUGAGUGAUGGCCAACCCUGUUGGUCCCACACAAUAAUUCUUAUCCAUGUUUUGCCACACAUUCAGUUUCUAUUUCUGUCGGUCCCAAACACUAAUUCUUAUUCAAGUGUUACUGAUCCUCCCAUUGGAUCUUCAGUACACCACCUUCAUAGGUUUUGUUGUGCUCCUUACCUCUAUCUUGACCGUUGGAACUUCCUUUUGGUGAGGUCUGAAGUCAUCCUAGUCGAAGGUCAUCAUAGGGUUGUCUCGAUCCUAGUUGUUUUCUUCUUCUCUGUCAAUGAGAAGUUUUACUAUAGAGUUGUUGUCUCAUUCUAUGGAAGUCCUUCCAUUACUUUCAAGAAACUAAAUGAGAAAAAUUAUCUUUCUUGGUAUGCAUAUGUUGAAAUGUUGUUCCUUGUCCAAGAUUAUCAUAACCACCUCAAGCAAGAUGGGAAUAAUGUGCCUCCUAAGAAAGUGGAACAAUGAUAAAUGUGUGUCCUGCUAUGCCAAUACAUGGAACCAAAACUUUUGGGUACCCUUAAAGCUUUUAAAACUUGUAACUCAUUUUGGAAGGAAACUCUUUUAGUGUGUUUACUAAAAACAUCAUUUUGUACAUCAUAGUGAGAGGUAGUAAAGUAUGCGAAUGCGUGAAUGCGUUUAACAAGACUCUAACAUAGCUCAUUGACACAUUUUGUGAGGACAAGGUUUGGUAAUGCGUCUAAUCAUAUACUAGUGUGUUUACUAAAACUUUUCUGAAACAUUUAAAUUUCAUAAAGCUUUUUCAUUAAACGCUUAUCUUCAAAAUAUGUUAUUUUUUCAAAGAUAACACUUUGUUAUAUGCUGAUUUCAUUAUUGUUGUUUGUUAAAUUUAAAAACAUAUAAAGACAUUUAAACAAUUUAGUCUUAUAAAAAAUCUUUCCUUAACAAAUUGUACAAUAAGUAUAUGGUUUAAAUUUUACUAUUAGUUGGUUAGAUACUUGACAUGAGAAUUUGGUAGGUAAGUUUUAAUUUUGGCAUAAAAAUCAUAUUAUUAUAUCAUAAGGUAUAUUAUAUGUAGUAAUAUAAAUUGUAAAAUACACAUUAUUUUAAGGCUUUUGCGUUCUCUUUAAUAUUAUAAUAUAGUAUUAUAAAUAAAGGUUUAAGUUUUGAAUUCAGUAGUUUAGCAAUUAAUAUAGUAUUCUAAAUAAAGGUUUAAGUUUUGGAUUCAGUAGUUUAGCAAUUGCGCUUGUGUAAUUUUUCUUAAUAAUUGUGUGGGUUUAAGUUUUUUUUAUUUGGUCAUUGGUGUUUUUAAAAGAGAUGAAAAUGAAAUUAUCUUUGCAAUUGAAGGUGGUUGUGUUUUAUUGGAUGAAGUCUAUGAUUUUGGCAAGUACGAUUUUGGUUUAUAAUAUAUAUAUAUAUAUAUAUAUAUAUAUAUAUAUAUAUUUACAAGUAUUCUUCCAUUUUGUGUAGGUACUUUGAAUUCUAUUAAUCAUUUAUAGUUACAUAGAGAAAAGUGAUUAGGUUGUAAGAAUGACAAGAGGUCUUGUCAUAAGGAUGACUCUAGAGUUUUUAUGACAGUAUCACGAGCUAAUCUUGUGUGUGGUACCUCGAUAGAACAGUUUAUUUCUACCACAAGUGUAGGGUUUUAUAGUCUGACUCAAGUACACAUAUUCAAAUAAUUGAGUUUAGAAGAAAUUUUGAUUAUAUAGUUUAUAUGUGUAUGAUUAUUUGGAGUGCUUUGUAUUGUAUACAACAUGUUUUAUUAAUAUAUGAUAUUCUUUUUGUAAAUUAGCUUUCUUUCUCUUCUUUAUUUGUUUCAUAUAUGCUUUAUUUUUCUUUUUUAAUGAUCACUUUAUUGGUGUGAACAGAUAGAGAUUCAGGUAUAAAAACACUUCUUAUAAUUGUAAUUGAUGAACCACUUGUUUAUGAUUGAAUGAUAUUAGAUCACGUCAAUAAAAUUAUAGCAUAAUAACUUAAUAAUAUCUUAGUAAUAUUACUAUAGUAUUAUAAUAAAUAUGUAAAAGUUAUAAAUUAUAAUUUUUAAUUAAAAAGGUUAUAGAAAUUCCGAAAACUUUAAAAUUGAAUAAAAAGUUUUGUAUAAAGAUGAUGCUAAAACUAAUUUUAAUUGAUACAAAAUCUUAUAUAUAUAUAUAUAUAUAUAUAUAUAUAUAUAUAUAUAUAUAUAUAUAUAUAUAUAUAUAUAUAUAUAUAUAUAUAUAUAUGAUUAAAAUUUUACAACUUUAUCUUCAAUUUUUUUUUUAAAUUUCAAAUAGAAGCAGUAAAUAAUAAUAUGCGAACAUAAAUAUGAAUAAAAAUAAAAAAUAUUAUUAUUUGUUUUUUUUGAAAAAAUUCUUUACAACUUUGGCUUGUAAAUUAGAUUUUGUAACUCUAAACUCGGAUAAAUUAAAAGUAACAAUGAGCUAAACAAUAUAUCUGUUAUCCAGUCAUAUUAUACUUUGGUUUGAACUUGGCACGCUUCACUACCACUGCAACUUCGACCAUGAUUAACAAUGGAGUCUGCACUCUCCGCACCUGCUUCCGUUUUCCUGGGAGGUUGCUAGUCCCACCAUUGCAGCGCUCGUUCACUUUCCGGCGGCGGUUUCUGGUGACUGCAUCCCAAAGGAAGAAGAAAGAGAAGGUUAUUGUCAUUUCCGGACCCACCGGUUCGGGCAAGAGCCGCCUCGCAUUGGAACUCGCUAAGAGCCUCAACGGCGAAAUCGUCAGUGCAGACUCUGUCCAGGUAAUAUUAUAUUUGAACACAAACAACCAUUUUCCUCAAUCGUGUUUUUGCACUGCGUAUGAGGUGGUGGUAGUGAUGCUCGUAGGGUUUUGGGGUUUUAAGUUCAAAAGUUAGCAAUCUCCAUGGAAAUUGCCAUUCAGCAAAAUCAUGGGUAAUAAGUUUGUUUAGCUGCUGAAUUAGUAUUACUACUAAUACUACUACUAUUAUAAUUUCAUGAGAUGUAAUAUUAUUGAUUUAAAUUGUUGCAGCACAUUAUUUUGUAAAAGGAGAAGAUAUGAUUAUGGGACAAAAUUGAUUUUUCAUGAAGAUGCUAUGGAGGGAAACGAUAUUUAUUUAUGAAUUUGGAAAUAUGUAUGUGUAUUGUAAUUGAACAAGUUUUGUUGUUUUUGUUGAGUUUAGUUCGGAUAAAUUCGGUCUAAACUUUACAUUGUCUUUCCCUUUAAAGAAUGUUGAUUUCUGGAAUAAUUACUUUAACAGUUAUGUCAAAGGUGAUAUGUAAUUCGUUUUAUGAUGUAUGAAAUGGUGCUCUUUCUUUAUUCAUGUGGCUUUAUUGGCUUUUGUAUUGUACCGCAGGUAUAUCGGGGGCUUGAUGUUGGAUCUGCAAAGCCUUCCCCAGACGAAAGAAAGGUGUGCGAUUGUGACAUAACGCAUGGUUUACCCGGAUUGUUAUAAGCUUUUUGAAUUUCUUCUUUGCUUGAACAAUCAUUUUUGGAACCUGUGAUUUUAGCUCAUAUACUUUUGUUUUGUUUGUUUCUCUUGUUAGGAGGUACCACAUCAUCUGGUUGACAUACUGCACCCAUCUGAAGGUGUGUUUUAUGUUGGACUGAGUAUAAUUUUUCCUGUGUCUUCUAUGAAGCAUGUUCUUUGAUCUGGACACCAAAUACUCCUGCUAAUUUCUAAAAUAUAGCACACUGAGAUGCUACAUAACAAAUGAAAUGAAAUAUGGGAAACAUUAGAGCGUAACAAAAUAUCUAAAUUAAUAAACAAUAUUUAUUUAUUCUAGUAUGUUCACCUUUCGUCCAUGGUCAUGACCCUCACAAGAUUUUAUCGGGAUACAUUAGUUUAUUUUGCAAUGUAAGCACUUAAUCUCUUUACAAAAAAGUCCCAAAGUGAGAUGCAUUAUACCUUUCCACAAAGGUAUAUUCAACUUUUCAAACCAGCAUGUUAAGUUUUACAAUUUUUCUAUGAUAAUGACUCUAACCAAACAAAAGUUGAGAAGUGUUUUAAAUAUUUUAAGUUGACUUUUCUAAAAGUUAAAAAAUGAUUUUUCUAAACACUUUUGUCUCCAUUUGGUGUUGGCUCAAGUGUUUGAGAAGACAAAAUAUAUUUUUAAUUGACAGCUAUUGACAUUUGUCUGAAAAUGUGUUCAACACCUGACACUCAUAUACGGGAGGUGUUUGUGCUGCAUAGCUCAUGUUGAUUUUUGUUAUUGAAACUUUGAAGGACUUCUAUUUUCACUAAUUUAAACUAAUCAUUAUUUAUCAGACUAUUCUGUUGGGCAGUUUUUUGAGGAUGCAAGGCAAGCUACAAGAUGUAUUCUUGACAAUGGCCGUGUUCCCAUAGUUGUUGGAGGCACUGGUUUGUAUUUAAGAUGGUAUGUCUUUUACAAUUACCUAUUUUGACGAUGCUAACUAUUUUUUACUCCUUAUUGAAUUCUCUAAUUGUUGCAUAGUAGUUGUAUUAUAUAUCUGUAAUAAGUUAACAAGAAAACAUAAAUAGGAAAUGAAAUCCAUUUGUCUUUGUUUGUUUCCACAACCUGCUUAGGAAGUCAUUCAUUUCUUUAGUAAUUUCAGCUAUUUAUAUCCUUAANAAAAAAAAAAAAGAAAUAGGGGUGUGGAAGUUCGUGUUGCGCAUUAAGAUGAUGAAAAUAAUCAAAUAUCAGGAAACAAGGGAUGCAGACUUGGUUUUCUGAGUAUUUCACUGUUUCCUCAUUUCUUUAAGAAUGUGAAAUAUACUAGUACGUUAUGGUAAUUUUCUAGUAUUCUAUUUUUACAGUAGCAUAAUCCAGUACAAGUCUAUUUUUUUUUGCUUUGUUGGAUACUAUAAACUUCUGUCAGAUGGAGGAAGCGGUAUGGGCAUUCACUGUAUGGAUUGUCAAUGUUAUAUCUCAUAUUGUUAGAAUUUAUUUUCUAUAUGUAGCUGUUGAUGUGCUAAUGCGGGACACUAUACCUGGGUUAUGUUUGAAAUGUAAGGUUCAUAUAUGGAAAGCCAGAUGUACCUAAAGCUUCUCCAGUGAUUACAUCUGAAGUAAAUCAAGAAUUAGCUGAACUACAGAGGAAUGACGACUGGGAUACAGCUGUACGGUUGGUGGUAAAAGCAGGAGACCCAAAGGCUCAAUUUCUAGCAGUGAAUGAUUGGUAUCGACUACGGCGUAGCCUAGAGAUUAUUAAGGUAUGCUUGCCAAGUUACUGAUAGUCUCAUGCAACUCUAAAUUCUAUUCUGGCUACUAAUCUUAUUGAAAGAUUGAAGAAAACUCUCUUUCAUAUGCUGCACAUUGGUGCUGAUAUUGAAUACCAACCACAGUGAAUAUAUCCAUUUCUUUUGGAGUAAAAUGGUUGUUAUGCGAUUAUCUCUUUUAAAUGAACUUCAUUGUAGUCCACUGAUUACUUACAUGCCUGUAUGUUUCUGUGAAUAUAUAUGUCAAAUUCAUGAUUUCCAUGGUUUACUGAAUUGUCUGAAAUAUGUUUAUGAAUUCAUCAUUUAUGUAUAUUUCUUUCGAAUGGCAGUCUAGUGGAUCACCUCCUUCUGCAUUUCGGGUACCAUAUGAUUCUUUCAGGGAACAGGGUGAAUGUAGUGUUGCUGAGGAUUCUGAGUCAUCUGAUAUGAACACGUACAGUGAUGGAAUGGAAGAAACCAGCUCAUCAGAUUUAGACUAUGAGUUUAUGUGCUUUUUCCUUUCUAGUCAUAGACUUGACCUCUAUAGAUCAAUUGAUUAUCGGUGUGAAGAUAUGCUUUUAGGUAUACCCCGAACAGGAAAACACUCAAUUAGUAUAUGAAUCCCUUACCUUUUGUAGAGUAUUCUUCUCUACCUGUAUGCAUGCAUGGGCACAGUGCAUACCUUGCUGUUAUAACAAUACAUGACAAGCUCUCUGUCAUAAUAUAUGAAUUUGAUUGCAACAAGUCUCUUAGCUCUCUUCAACUGCAGGAAGGGAUGGGCUUUUGUCUGAGGCUCAGUGGCUUCUUGAUACGGGUCUUCAUCCAAACUCCAAUUCUGCAACUAAAGCAAUUGGUUACAGACAAGUAUAUCUUACAUUUUCUAUAUCACAUUUUAAUGUUACCAUCUUAAAAUUUCAAAUGAUGAAUAUACUUGUAUAUUGUGUACCUCAAGAAGUUCUUUAUACAAUAAAACAGUGUUGGUUGAAAUUGAAGUAGAAUGACUCCAACUUUCCUGUUUUUAAUGGCGUGUUUAAUAUAAAAUUACAGUACUAUAUUAAGCAUUAGUGAUGUAAAGUAGUUGAUGGCCCAUAGAGCAUGUGUAUGUUGAUCAUUUUAUUUUCUACUGAAAUAGUUGUGAUGAAUUUACUCAUUUUGUAUACAUGUUUCACCAAUUUCAGGCCAUGGAGUACUUACAAAGAUGCAGAGAGCAAGGGGGUCAGAGUUCUGCUGCAGAGUUUUACAAAUUCUUGUUUGAAUUUCAAAAAGCAUCACGGUAAUGCAUUUUGUUGUUUUAUAAGAUAAAAAUAGCAUAGUACUCUAGUUUUCCUUUUCAGUUAAAAUAUUCUGUAUAUAUUAAAAAUUAAUUAUUUUCCUUUAAAUGAUUUUGGUUUGAGUAAAUCUUUGUUCACUGAAUGUUUCUACUGUUAAAAUAUUACAGCUUUGUUGUUAUAAAGUUGAAUUAAAUGAGAAAUUUAGAAUACAGACUACAGAACAUGCUCUUUCAUUUUGUAUGAGAACUUUUAAGACCAUGCGAGGAUCCUCUAUCUCUUUCUCGUGUCUAAUAACCAUUUGAGAUCACUUGGACCAACAAGUGAAAUGUGCAAGAGGAAGCACUGCUUCAAUUCUGAAUGCUGCCUCUUCUAGGAAUUUUUCCAUGCUAGUUCAUGCCAAAUCUCUAUCGGUAAAAUUCUCCAAAACUUUGUUUGGGCUUUUCUGUUAAUGUUGGUUUUGUAGUUGUUGUUUUCUUAAACGGUAUCACUAUUACUUUAGGCUGCCUUCAUAUACUAAAAAAGGAAAUGUAUAUAAAGAAGAAAAGAAAAGUGCUACUAUGAUAAGUUAUUCUCCAGUUCAAACGGGCAAGAUAUAAAUAUGUGAGCUUGAUUUAUGUUUUCUCUUGCCAUUGAAUUCGAGGCUAAUGUUUUCAUGUAUAGUGUAGUAGUGACAAGGUACUGAAUUGAUCCCAUAGAACAUAUAUCCCUAUCCCAGGAUGAUCUCUUUUAUGUUUUAAUUCCAAAGUGAGCACUAGGGGUUUGUAUAAUUAAAUGUCAAGUUCAACAACAUGCACAUUGGAUAUUAUACCAUAGUACCCAUGAUAUUAACUAAAAAGAUGUUCAGCUUAAAAUAAGUUCAGUAACAAAACCCAAUUAUGAUUCAUGAAUUUUCAAUCUCUUGUAGUAUCGUAAUCAGAUAACAAUUUUUGAGCAAGUUGUUUGUUUGCUUAUUUUGAUGUUCUACUUGCUUGUCGUGUUUCAAAAACUGGUGUAUGCUGCCAAUUAGUAUUCUGUACACGUGGCUGUUUAAAAAAAGCUUUCCUUGGUCGGCUUCAAUCUAUCAUAUGUCAAGGAUGGUGGCUUGUGCUUUCACAUCCUGUUUAUGUCGAAAGUGUUUCUAUUCUUAGCCUAUUACUAUGACGUGGUUCAAGUAGAUCAUUGCCAUCAUUUAUACCCACCCAUAAAAUACAUGCUGGUAUGUUGAAAUGAUUUCAUCAGGAAAAAAAACCUAUAGUACCUUAGUUCUAUCUCGCCAAUGCAUCACAAUGUUAUCCUCUGCUGUUGUUUGGUAUUUUGUUUCCACUGGAUUUCAUAUUUAUUUGAUCUUUAGAUGCUUGUCAUGUUUUGUUGCUACAGAGCAGCAGCUUAAUUCAGCUAUUUAACAAGUUAUUUCUUAUACUUUCUACAGGAAUUUUGCAAAAAGGCAGUUGACAUGGUUUCGUAAUGAAAAGAUAUACCAGUGGCUUGAUGGUUCUAAACCUCUGGUAUAACAAUCGAAUCUUUCGCCACUGGGUGUUACCUUGUGAACACAUGUUUCUCUUUUUAUUUCACAUUAACACUACUCUAAAGCCAACAAACUUGUGUUCUCAUCAAUUUUGAAUUCAUAGAAAACUACUAAAGUUAUGUCUCCCAAAGAUUGAAGAUGCAAUUGCUCGUAGUACCUUUUUCAAGUUUUAGGGGUUGGAAGCAGCUGUAAACUUAAGUAGUUUCAUUAAACCUAAAUAACGGUUUCCUUCUAUAUUUGUUUUUUUUUUAACCUUAAGGAUAAUGUUUGUUUUUCUGUUGGGCAAUCCGUUCUUUUGUUUAUUUCUCUCUUGUAUGCUUUAUCUUGAAAUGAACUACUCAUGCCAGGAAACCAUUCUCAGUUUCAUUAAUGGCGCAUACCAUGAUUGGAAUGGAAGUCUUCCUGUGCCUGAACACUUAAGAAUGUCGAGAGAUAUUUCUAAUCGCCGAGAUGAAAAACAUCUAAAGUCUUACCGCUCCAGAAAUAGGUACAUUUAUUUGUUUUGGGCAAAGUAUAAUAUUUACUUAUAGUAAACUAUAUUCCUUGUAACAAAACGAUUUAAUUUAAAUGUUGUUUUCUUAUGAAGGCAUUUUGUGAAGGGGGAAGAUUGUUCUCAUAUUCUUAAUUGGAUAAGCAAGACUCAAAGGUGAAGUGAUGGAUAUAUUUUCCUUUUGCAUUCUUGAACUGACUUUAAAUUUCAAAUUCAAGAGUUUCCAGGUUAGAGAGAAAGUUUUGUUUUCAUUAACUUUUCUUCAUUACAUCCUUUUUGUCAUCUGUAAUGUAAUAUUGUUUUCUGGAAUAUUAUGAUGACAGCUGAACUUGGAAUUUUAAGUUCUUUCCAUCCUUUCGAACCAAUGUGUGUGUGAGAGAAGAAUAAAAUUUUACCUUAACAAUUACAUCAUUAAUAAUUUAGUACAAAUUGAGAAUUUUAUUUAUUCCAUCCAUCAAUAUAGCUUACAUAAAAUAUUAUUCUAUCCAUAAUUGUAUAUGUAAUAUUGCAAUAAUUGUAUACGUAAUAUUGAUUUAACCAUUGAUUAUAAUUGUGUAUUAUUUUGAUUGUUUUUUCGAUUUUUUUUUUCAAAAUUUUACAAAUAUGAUAUUUUUAAUUUACAUGAUUUCUUUUUUUAAUUUACAUGAAUGAUACAAUUUUAAACAUGAUUUAAUUUAGGAAAUUUGAAGCCGAAUGGCAGUUUUGAAUAAAAUGAUCUAAUAAUAAUGAAUGGUUUGACAAUACGUGAGUUUUAUAUAAGUAUAAUUUCUUUUCUCUCUUUAUUAUGCAUUUAUAACAAACAUAUAAUAGUUUGAAUGCGUGUCUUCUUAUUCAUUGGAAAUGGGUAUAAAUAGUGAAGUGAUAUGACUACAUUCAACUUUCUACGCAUAGCAUUUUUACUAGGAAUCAAUGACUUAAUUGCAGGAAAUCAAUUAACUUAAUUAUAGGAGAAUGAUUUUAAACCUAAUAUGAGGAAAUCAAUUGGGUUAAUUAUAUAAGAAUAGUUCAUAUUUCAUCGCAUUCCUACCAUUGAAGUGAAAGGUUCAUAAAUAUUUAGAUUGGUCCAAAAAUCUUUGAAAGAAUCUUAGGUAGGCCUUUCGUAAAGAUAUAAGCUAUAUGGUGAAAGGAAGAUACAUGAAGAACUCGUGCUUUUUAACAAAAUGAAUAUUCAUCUUAAUAUGUUUUGUAUAUUAGGAAAAUGAUAUUUUAACACCAAUUUUUGACACCAUUUUGAUACUGUACACAUGUCAAAAUGUGGUGGGAUGAUUUCAAAUUAAAAAGAACUGAGGCAAAGGUAUAUUUGGAAGAGAAAAGCCAAUUUUUUUUUUAAUUUGAAAUCGUCUAACCACAUUUUGACACGUGUGAAGUGUCAGAAUGGUGUCAAAAAAUUGGUGUUAAAAUAUCAUUUUCCUGUAUAUUAAUACUAAAUAGGAUUAUUGUAUAUAUAAAUGACACUAACAUUAUCACAAUAUAUCAAAGUAGUAUGAGGGAGAGAAAAAUGAAGCUUUAAGAGAAGAUUGCAGAGUCAACAAGAUGUUAGAGCAGUGCAGUGAAAUGGUGGUUAGUGUAUUUAGACAAAUAUCAAGAUGACAGGGUGAAUUGAUUUCCUGUUCUUUGAAAAUAAUUUUCCUUCUCUCUUUAUAAAAAUUACUUAACAAACAAUAUCAACAACAAUAAAGAGUGUAUGGAAAUCGAGAUUUGCACAAGUAAUUUUAUACUGGCUUAGAUCUUGCGUCUAGUUAUUAAUCCCAACCAGAGAUUAACUAUCCACUAGCACAAAACCAGUAAACUAUUAGAAUCACACAAAAAGACAAGUUUAAGGGUUUAGAAACACUUCUUUUGUUACUCCAAGAGAUGAUACUCAUUUCCGCUUAAAACCUCAAGGGAUGAACACCUCCUUCAAAUUCUUCACAAAGAAUGACCACCUCCUUUGAAUCUUCACAAAUGAUGACAAACUUUAACUCAGCAACAACAACAACACUUGAUCAGACUCCCAGUGAAAGUUCUCGCUCCAUGCCAACACCAAGUUCUCAAAGUCAAAGCACAAGGGUUACACAAACCCUAGAUCACACUUCACUCAAUUUCACAAGUGUAGUUGUGUGUGCUAGAAUGAAAGUCUAAAACAUCUUUAUAAAGACCUCACUCAAGGACACCUCCAAAAAUUCGUUCUCAACUAAUUAACGUGUGAUAAUCGAUUAUCUACUUAUGGUAAUCGAUUAUCCACUUAUGGUAAUCGAUUAUGCAUUUAAUGAAUGCAUAAUAGUAAAAAAUCUUCUUAAAAGUUCUCAUAAUUGUUCGUGAUAAUCGAUUAUGGCAAGUCAUAAUUUAUUACUGAUAAUCGAUUAUUAUAAUUUGAUAAUCGAUUAUCUUGAGUAUAAAAUGAGGUUUUCUGAUUCAAAACGAUUUUUAAUGCAACCUAAGGCAAACAAUACUUAGAAUCAAAGAUAAACCACAUCCUAUACAUAAAUCUACCAAAUUACAAAAUCUUUAACACAAGACAAGUCUUCAUGAAGAUUUUCUUACAACAAGAGCACUUGAGACUUGACUUUGAGACAUCAUCAAAACUUCUUCUCUUCAGUUUUAUGCUAAUAAUUUCCCCCAUUUUUAUAAUGAUAAAAAACUCUUUGAUUUACUUUUAUUUAAAGAUUUUUGUAACUUGUACUAAUUUGUAACUCAUACAUAAUUUAAAGAAAAUGAAUUAGUAGACAAGAGAUAAAUAUAAUUAAGUCUUGUAAACAUACUUCUCUCCCUUUUCAAUCAUUAUAAAAAGCGUUGUGUAUGAUUAAAUUAUUUCUCCCCCUUAAUAUAAGAACUUCCCUUGAAUAUAAGCCAUAAACAAAUUAAUAACAAUUAUCAUAAUUUUUAUUAAAGGGAAACAUGAGUCAUAAUUCCAAACGUAGUAAAUACAAUAAAUUUAGAAAUCUUAACAAAAAAAUGAAAAGUGUAAAGACGUACCCUCCU